CCUGUCCCUUGAGACGUUUCAGCUCAACUGCUAAAGUGUUGCAGCUGUGUCAACGGGCGGCAGAGAGCGACUUCACGGAGGAAUCUGAGUCGUACACU